GUCCACGCCCUAAACGAUGUCUACUAGUUGUCGGGUCUUAAUUGACUUGGUAACGCAGCUAACGCGUGAAGUAGACCGCCUGGGGAGUACGGUCGCAAGAUUAAAACUCAAAGGAAUUGACGGGGACCCGCACAAGCGGUGGAUGAUGUGGAUUAAUUCGAUGCAACGCGAAAAACCUUACCUACCCUUGACAUGGAUGGAAUCCUUGAGAGAUUGAGGAGUGCCCGAAAGGGAACCAUUACACAGGUGCUGCAUGGCUGUCGU
rnacentral:rRNA from 1 species